GCCAGGCACAGUGGCACACACCGUACCCCCAGCUACUCAAGAGGCUGAGGCUGGAGGGUUGCUUGAGCCCGGGAGUUCAGGGCUGUAGUGCGCUGUGUCGAUUGAGUGUGUGCAGUAAGUUCAGUGUCAGUAUGGUGACCCCCUGGGAGCUGGGGACCACUCGACUGUCUAAGGGGUGGUGAACUGGCCCAGGUCAGAAAUGGAGCAGGUCGAAACUCCUGUGCCGAUCAGUAGUGGCCUCACGCCUGUAAAUAGCCACUGCACUCCAGCCUGGGUGACAUAGUAGAGAAUCUAUUU
rnacentral:SRP_RNA from 10 species